GAAGCCUAACUUCUGGAAUGCCAAGGAAAGCCUCACAGGAAGGUGUCUUGCUGGAGACUUUCUGCUGUGAAACCACCCAAGGAGGGUGCUGGGGUUUGCAGAUCUUUCGGUGUCUGAGGACCUCAGACUGAUAAGCAUAAGGCUAAGAAAGGAUACUUCUAAGAGCAGCCACUGAAGGAUACUCAAGAAGCUUCACACUUCAUAAAAGACGGGACAUUUUAACAACAAAAUAUUGGGAAAACCUCAGUCUCAGAAUUACUUGUGUCAAUUACUUGAGUCACAGUUAAUCGAAUGGAGGAAAGAACACUUUUCUUUUUGGAGUAAGACUCAAGAGUGAAUCCCAGCUCUGCCAAUUAUUCCUUAUAUGACACUGGCUGAGAUAUUAAUAUUUCUGAGCCUCACAAAUCAAAUCACAAAAUGAAAUCACGCAGCCCACAUGGUUUUCAGAAUGCAACCAAUGAGUAGUUUUACAUUCCUAUGCUGUUUAGUACAUAGUAGGUGCUCAAAAAUAUCCAUUUCUUCCCUCCCACACCCUUUCCCCUCUACUCAUUUUACUCACCUCAGAGGAUUGUUGUGAUGAUUGAAUAAGACAAUAACAAGAGAAUGUUUGGUGAACCGUAAGGCAUUAUUUAAAUGUAAGUUUCAUGAGACAGAAGGUGCUUUGCUUUAAGCACAUGCAUUUUCCUUUUCAUAAGAUGUGUAAUAUGUAAUGCAGGAACCCUCAAGGAAAAAAAAAACAA